AUCUGAAACUAUCCAAGAUACGGAAAUGAUAGAAACGACCUUUGAUAAUCCAUUGAAGAAUCCGCCAGUCAUUGAAAACAACACAAGAAAGCGGUGUGCUGAAGAAAAUGAACAUUCGCGCAGUAAACGACAACGGCAGGAGGUUAUGGUGCCACCGACUUCCAACUACAACCCAUGUUUACUGCGUCCAACCCACAACAAUCCAGAUAUUUCUCGUUGUCUCAUGGUCCAUAUGUUAUAGCUUGUAAAACAAAGAAAUAACUGUACAAAUUUUAAUACUUAAUGUUAUCAGUUAACAGAUUUUAAGUAAUGUUAAUUUUAUCUACAGAAGUACAAACAAUGAAAAAACAUGGACCUGAGACUAACGAGAAUUUGAAAUUGGAUUCCACAUCAGAGGAAUUAAUGGCAACCUUAUAUUGGCAUAUUCACGGCGGGAACUUUUAUCAGUGUGUGUGACAAAAAUUUUAGACUGACAGUGUUAAUUGACUAUGAUAAAAGACUAUAAGUACUAAGCUAGAAAGUUUUUCUUUCAAGUAUUAUAAUUUCAAAGGUUUUUUUCUAAAUAAAGGUAAACUAGGAAAAGGGAGGUUUUUUAUUUAAAACAAUUAGAUUACUUUUUUAUAUUUUAUUUGUGCUAAAUAAAUAUUACAUAAAUUAUGUCGAGACAAGCAUUGCAAAAUAAUAGUAUAUUGAAUAAUAUAUGAAUCGUCAAAAACUUCAGAGUUUAAUCUGAAAGAAAAAUAUGAAAAUGAGUAUAUUUAUGUUUUUUCUGUUGCAGGUGCAGUGUUAGAAGAACUAAUUUAAAAUUUGUUUCAGGGAUCGCUCAGACUAAAAUGCUAAGUGUAGCUGUUUGAGUGUUUUGUUAAUCAAUAUGAUUUAUUAAUAUCACCUUUCUGUUUUUCAGAUUUGUCUUCCAUAUGCAGCCUUGUUGGCACACGGUCAAGUCCGAGCCAUUCUGCUUCAGCCUUUAAUGCAAAUAUUAUUCAAAUUUAUACACUAUUUUUGAUAUUCAAACUUUUUUAAGUUUGUAAUUAAUGAAGUAAUUGAUGAAACAUUGUAUCUGUGAUAAUAUGUACCUGAUUUAUUAUAAGUAAUAUAUGAUUGUAAUAAAUGAUAUUUCUGAA